UACAGAGGGUGCAAGCGUUAAUCGGAAUUACUGGGCGUAAAGCGUGCGUAGACGGUUACAUAAGUCGGGUGUGAAAGCCCCGGGCUCAACCUGGGAAUUGCAUUCGAGACUGCGUAGCUAGGGUGCGGAAGAGGGAAGCGGAAUUUCCGGUGUAGCGGUGAAAUGCGUAGAUAUCGGAAGGAACACCAGUGGCGAAAGCGGCUUCCUGGUCCAGCACCGACGCUGAGACGCGAAAGCGUGGGGAGCAAACAGG
rnacentral:rRNA from 1 species